rnacentral:rRNA from 1 species
UACGGGGGGGCAAGCGUUGUUCGGAAUUACUGGGCGUAAAGGGCUCGUAGGCGGCCAACUAAGUCAGACGUGAAAUCCCCAGGCUCAACCUGGGAACUGCGUCUGAUACUGGAUGGCUUGAAUCCGGGAGAGGGAUGCAGAAUUCCAGGUGUAGCGGUGAAAUGCGUAGAUAUCUGGAGGAAUACCGGUGGCGAAGGCGGCAUCCUGGACCAACACUGACGCUGAGUGAGCGAAAGCCAGGGGAGCAAACGGG